rnacentral:lncRNA from 1 species
GGUCAGGCUCGUGGGGUUGGUGAGUGACAAGGCGGGGAGGAACACGGAUCUGUCUCCCGCAUCGACUUCAUCAGACGGUGAGUUAAUUUCGGCAGAAGCGGAAGAUUUUAUUCAAGUUCUAGAUGCGUGCGUCCUAGGGGAUUCAGUUUUGGACCUUUGUGCUAUGCGUGCCAUUGCUGGAUGUCGGUCUUGACUUUUGUCAAAUGCUCCACGUUCAGUCGUCACUUGAAAUGUUGUUGGCUGUUAGUUCAGUAAUGCAAGCAAUUCAGUAAUGGGCCAGGUCACCACCAUCUCUGUUUCUUUUUUCGGUUUGGUUUCGAUUUGGUUCUCUUCCCUUCCCUAAUGCGGUUCGUUUCCUCACGCGCGCAGGGAUGAUUUUUCGUGAUGAUGGGGAUCCAUUCUUCUUCCAUGUUGACGCCUCCGGUCCUGCCACGAUUCGUCUUGUCGUCCUCCCCGGCAUUCGCAUAGGUGCUAAGCCACUGCCCCAUAAUAUUUCACUAGUGUACUACUGAAAGCUGAUUGAUUUGUUGUUAAACUGAAAGCUUAACUUUCUUGUCACAAAUCAUCCCUUGCAGUUGGCCAUGAAAUCUGACCAAUUGCUAGCUACUCACACGCGUACUUACAACGACUAGUUUCCAGUGAGGAAGCACUCACUACAGUUGCUUGGGUUUGGGAUAUGCAGGUCAGGCUCGUGGGGUUGGUGAGUGACAAGGCGGGGAGGAACACGGAUCUGUCUCCCGCAUCGACUUCAUCAGACGGUGAGUUAAUU